GCCGGGUGCAGUGGCGCGUGCCUGUAGUCCCAGCUACUCGGGAGGCUGAGGCUGGAGGAUCAGAUGGCUUGAGCCCAGGAGUUCAGGGCUGUAGUGCGCUAUGCUGAUCAGAUGUCCACACUAAGUUCGGCAUCAAUAUGGUGACCUCCUGGGAGCAGGGGACCACCAGGUUGCCUAAGGAGGGGUGAACUGGCCGAGGUCGGAAACGGAGCAGGUCAAAACUCUCGUGCUGAUCAGUAGUGGGAUUGCGCCUGUGAAUAGCCACUGUACUCCAGCCUGGGCAACAUAGCAAGACCCCGUUUCU
ensembl:misc_RNA Metazoa_SRP Metazoan signal recognition particle RNA